AUUCGUUGAAAACCACCCCUGGCCUUGGUUGUGGCCUGGGUUAAGAUUUGGCACCCAGAGCCACCAGGGACCUCAGCUCACCUCAAGCUGCCAUGUUGUGGGAGGGUGAAACCCAGGCUCCAUCAAGC
ensembl:snoRNA